rnacentral:rRNA from 1 species
GCACAAGCGGUGGAGCAUGUGGUUAAUUCGAAGCAACGCGAAGAACCUUACCAGGUCUUGACAUCCCGAUGCUAUUUCUAGAGAUAGAAAGUUACUUCGGUACAUCGGUGACAGGUGGUGCAUGGUUGUCGUCAGCUCGUGUCGUGAGAUGUUGGGUUAAGUCCCGCAACGAGCGCAACCCCUAUUGUUAGUUGCCAUCAUUCAGUUGGGCACCCUAGCGAGACUGCCGGUAAUAAACCGGAGGAAGGUGGGGAUGACGUCAAAUCAUCAUGCCCCUUAUGACCUGGGCUACACACGUGCUACAAUGGUUGGUACAACGAGUUGCGAGUCGGUGACGGCGAGCUAAUCUCUUAAAGCCAAUCUCAGUUCGGAUUGUAGGCUGCAACUCGCCUACAUGAAGUCGGAAUCGCUAGUAAUCGCGGAUCAGCACGCCGCGGUGAAUACGUUCCCGGGCCUU